UUUAGAGGGAAAAUAAAGGAAGCGCCGGCAGAAGUGCCCGCGAUACUUUCCCUGAAUUCAGCUGGGCUAACAUUUCCAAGCAUCUCCAGCCUACGAAAGAGCGCAAUGUUAUUAAAGCCUUAUCUGGAUUGAUUGAUCAAUGCCUCCUAACUCACAGAGCUCAAACUACAGGUCAUAAAACUUACAGAGGCUCUUGGAAGACAACUGCUUCAGUACUUCUGCGUGAAGCAUCCAUCUAAUAGUUGGGAUUGAUGAAUAUUGUAGUUGGCUGAAACAUCUGUGGAGGUCGUUGGUCUUCUGAAUGUUCUCUUCUGAACGAUUGUCC